rnacentral:misc_RNA from 1 species
CAGGGAUAUCCAGAUAUGAUCCAUCAUCUGCUCCGUUAGAUGUUGUUAUGGUUGUUAUGAAAUGAGGACCCUUCGGAGAGUAGGAUUUAGCAUCUUCAAGCAGGCGUUGCUCUUUGAAAUUCCCUUUCCCCGUCUUGUCAUAACUGCUCUCAACUUCAUCAGAUGAAUUCUUCUUCCUGUUCUUCUCAGAGAAAUUGAUGGAAACAGG